CGUCCUCCAGUGCUGUGACGUUGAAGCCCAGCGUCGAGGAGUCGGGGCUCAGGUCUUCUCCAGGAUCCCCCAGCUUUACCCAGAUCUCUGCACGCAACAGACGGGGGAAGAAGGCUCCACUCACUGCUUGCCGCAAAGGUUGGUUUGCACGCUCCAAUCUCUGAGCUCUUCAAAUCUGCUGCAAGUGCACUGAGGUGUGAGGUCUCAAGAUGCUUUGGGCCAGGGCGACACAUGAACAUCUCAACAUGGCCUUGAACCAGUGGAUGUGUGAUGAGGACAUGCUGAGAAAAGCUUUAGGAUUGACUGGAGGCCUACAGCUGUGCUGCUGAGUUGAAAGAUGCCUCUUUGGAACAUGCUGCUCACUGCUCAACAACAAAGGUGUUUUCCCAGAUGGAAAAGAAGGAUCCACAAACUGCUUUCUGCAAAGAUGUGAGAAGACCGUGACGAAACUCUCCACACCAGAGCUUCAAGGCCAUCCAAAGAUGAAGACUAAUAAUGGACUGUUGCAGGUUGGCCUGCGCUCUCCAAUCACUAAACUCUUCAAAUCAGCUGCAAGUGCACUGAGGUCUGAGUUUAAGAGGCUUUGGGCUAGGAUGACACGUGAACAUCUCAACAUAUUGACUGGAGGCCUACAGCUGUGCUGCUGAGUUGAAAGAUGCCUUUUUGGAACAUGCUGCUCACUUCUCUACAACAAAGCUGUUUCCCAGGUGUGACGCAAUCGGACUCGUCUGCGGUGUGAAACGGCGCAGAUGCAGGACUGCUAAAGGUGUCACGCCAUCUGACCAGUCGUGUGUGUGUGUGUGUGUGUGUGUGUGUGUGUGUGUGUGUGUGUGUGUGUGUGUGUGUGUGUGCAAUGCGACAGAUGCAAGACUGCUACAGACUCCAGCUGGAUCUGCUGUUUCAAAUUUAAGAAACUGGGUGCCAUGAAGAGAGAUCCAGCAGCCAUCUUGUGCUGCCACACAAUCUUGCAAUCUGCUAUCCUGUGGUACAGACUUUCCUAGACAUGAUAUCGUUUGGUGUGCACCAUUAAAUGCUUACCUGUCUUUAAUGUUUAUUUCCAGAUGGCUGGAAUUUGAUACCUAAUAAAGAAGUGUACAACUCA